AUGGGGGUGCACGGAGCGGGUGAGCCCAGACUCACGGCAGGGUGGCUGGCGGCUCUGCCCCGCCGUGGGGGGCAAAGUGGGGCCGGGCUGCUGCAUGCYGGGGGGGAGUCUGGGGCUGCCCCCCUGCACUGUGCUGGGGACCGAGCGUGGGGGCCGGGCGGGCGGCUCUCACCGAGCCCAUGGCAGCAGCYGGGGCUGCCCGACAGCGGAGCGGGGCCGAGGGGGACAGAAAUGCCCCUGCCGCUAGGUCCCACCCUGGGCAAAGGGGUUUGUCCUGCGCUGGCCGGGCCGGGCGCUGCAGGAGGGACGGGCCGGUGUCGCCACCUCCACACUGGUGAGGAUGAGCCUGGAGCGGAGCAGCCUGCCGGAGCAGCCCUGCUUAGCGGCUGUGCUGUGCCCAGGGGACCAUUUGGCAGACUUUGGUGGCCAAGGGCUCUAAGGGGGGGGGUCCUGGGGGGGCUGCAGGGUGCUGCAGGGGGCACGAAGGGCCUCGCUGGCACGUCUUGCUGUGCAGCUGGAGGCCAUGCGGUGGCCCCGGGCGAGGGCAGUGGGCGAGCGGGGGGCCUCGCACAGCCCCUACCCCACUGCACAGGGCUGCCCAUGCCCGGGGCGCAGGAUGCAGCCGUGGCCCCCGCUGCAGGCUGCGCUCCGGGGCGGUGGGCGCCCGCCGGUCCCCGCGCCCGGCCCGGCCCGGGCAAGGCAGCAGCAGAUGGAGCUCUUGCUCCAGGAAAGCCCUUCCCGGGCGGGCUGCUCCCCGGCUGCUCCGCGGCUGCUCCCCUGCUGCUGCCCGGCUGCUGCCCCCAGCCCCGGGGCUCCGCGGCUCCCGGCCGGCCGCCCCGGCGAGCUGUGCCUCUUUCCCUGCACCGCGGGAAAUGUGUUUCUGAGCACGGGGGGAAAAGGCGCCCGGACGAGCAGGGAUCCAGCAAUGCAAGGAGAGAGGUGCAGCUGCCGCCUCCCAGCACCGCUCRGCCGUGCCGUGCUGAGACGUGCCGGCAACCCCUGUGUGCCAGCGCUGCGUGA
rnacentral:lncRNA from 1 species